rnacentral:rRNA from 1 species
GACGAACGCUGGCGGCGUGCUUAACACAUGCAAGUCGAGCGAGGCCCGCUCUUCGGGGUGGUGCCCUAGCGGCGAACGGGUGAGUAACACGUGGGCAACCUGCCCUCAGCUCUGGGAUAACUCCAAGAAAUUGGUGCUAAUACCGGAUGUGACCGCUGACCGCAUGGUCUGGUGGUGGAAAGAUUCAUCGGCUGAGGAUGGGCCCGCGGCCUAUCAGCUUGUUGGUGGGGUGAUGGCCUACCAAGGCGACGACGGGUAGCCGGCCUGAGAGGGUGACCGGCCACACUGGGACUGAGACACGGCCCAGACUCCUACGGGAGGCAGCAGUGGGGAAUAUUGCGCAAUGGGCGGAAGCCUGACGCAGCGACGCCGCGUGAGGGAUGAC